GGGCUUGUACUGGUUUCGACGGGGGCUUUGAAGUUGAGGAAGCCAUUCGCAGACUCCGGAACUGCGUCAUCAAUCUGGAACUUAAAUUUAAACGCAGACGAAAAUUACGCGUUAGCAGCCUAAUGCUGCUCGUCAGCCUGAGUGCACUCACACAUUCAGUGUCUGGCGUCGAACUUGUGAGAAACCUUACUGGUUAAGCUUUGCACCAGUAGAUGUAUGAUGAAGCUACCGAAGCUGUAAGCCUGUCGCCGGGCGUAUGGCCGGGGGAAUCCUAAAACAGCGACUGUAAUGGGAGAUGCCGCAAGGGAGAGGCUUUCGGACGCGGGUUCAAUUCCCGCCAGGUCCACUA
rfam:Blautia sp. An249 An249_contig_12, whole genome shotgun sequence.